rnacentral:rRNA from 1 species
UACGUAGGGGGCAAGCGUUGUCCGGAAUCAUUGGGCGUAAAGCGCGCGUAGGCGGCCCGAUAAGUCCGCUGUGAAAGUCAAAGGCUCAACCUUUGAAUGCCGGUGGAUACUGUCGGGCUAGAGUCCGGAAGAGGCGAGUGGAACUCCUGGUGUAGCGGUGGAAUGCGCAGAUAUCAGGAAGAACACCGAUAGCGAAGGCAGCUCGCUGGGACGGUACUGACGCUGAGGCGCGAAAGCGUGGGGAGCAAACAGG